rnacentral:lncRNA from 1 species
GGAGAAAUCUCUAGGUGUGUACUGCAAAACUUUAUGCUUACUUAGCCUUAUCCUGUCCUUUUUAUUCUUUUUAAGGCAAAGACUUAAUAAAUAAGUCAAAGAGAUGUUCAUACUACUGCCUGACCAAAAAAAAAUGAAAGCAAUAAUAAAUAUGCUGAGGACAAAAUCAGGAUUUCUCCCCCCAAAAACAAGGACAACUCAAGGAUCAAACUCAAAAAAGCAGAAUUUAAGGUGUAUGAUGUAGAAUACGUCCCUUGCCCUCUCUUGGCCUCAAUUUCUUCACAUGUGGUGGGAAGUAAUUUAAAGAAAACGGCAUAGAAUUUGACUUUAUUAUAACCGGAUGUGCAC